GGAUUGAUACUAAGCCAUGCGAGUCUUUGCAGUAAUGCAAGGCAUACGGCUCAGUAACACGUAGUCAACUUACCCUAUGGACGAGGAUAAUCUCGGGAAACUGAGCAUAAUACUCGAUAGAUCAUAAUGCCUGGAGUGGUUUAUGGUUGAAAUGAUUCGUCGCCAUAGGAUGGGACUGCGGCCUAUCAGCUUGUUGGUGAGGUAAUGGCCCACCAAGGCGAUUACAGGUACGGGCUCUGAGAGGAGAAGCCCGGAGAUGGGUACUGAGACAAGGACCCAGGCCCUAUGGGGCGCAGCAGGCGAGAAAACUUUGCAAUGUGCGAAAGCACGACAAGGUUAAUCCGAGUGAUUUCUGCUAAAGAAAUCUUUUGCAAGUCAUAAAACCACUAGUGAAUAAGGGGUGGGCAAGUUCUGGUGUCAGCCGCCGCGGUAAAACCAGCACCUCAAGUGGUCAGGAGGAUUAUUGGGCCUAAAGCAUCCGUAGCCGGCUCUGUAAGUUUUCGGUUAAAUCCAUGUGCUCAACGCAUGGGCUGCCGAAAAUACUGCAUAGCUAGGGAGUGGGAGAGGUAGACGGUACUCGGUAGGAAGGGGUAAAAUCCUUUGAUCUAUCGAUGACCACCUGUGGCGAAGGCGGUCUACCAGAACACGUUCGACGGUGAGGGAUGAAAGCUGGGGGAGCAAACCGGAUUAGAUACCCGGGUAGUCCCAGCUGUAAACGAUGCAGACUCGAUGAUGCAUUGGCAUAUAGCCAGUGCAGUGUCGCAGGGAAGCCGUUAAGUCUGCCGCCUGGGAAGUACGUACGCAAGUAUGAAACUUAAAGGAAUUGGCGGGGGAGCACCACAAGGGGUGAAGCCUGCGGUUC
rnacentral:rRNA from 1 species